GCUACGGGUGGCUGCAGUGAGGAAUAUUGGUCAAUGGGCGUAAGCCUGAACCAGCCAAGUCGCGUGAGGGAUGAAGGUUCUAUGGAUCGUAAACCUCUUUUAUAAGGGAAUAAAGUGUGGGACGUGUCCUAUUAUGUAUGUACCUUAUGAAUAAGGAUCGGCUAACUCCGUGCCAGCAGCCGCGGUAAUACGGAGGAUCCGAGCGUUAUCCGGAUUUAUUGGGUUUAAAGGGUGCGUAGGGGGGCUUUUAAGUCAGCGGUGAAAGUCCGGGGCUCAACCCCGGAAUUGCCGUUGAAACUGGCAGGCUUGAGUUUGAGAGAGGCAUGCGGAAUGCGCGGUGUAGCGGGGAAAUGCAUAGAUAUCGCGCAGAACCCCGAUUGCGAAGGCAGCCUGCCGGGCCCACACUGACGCUGAGGCACGAAAGCGUGGGUAUCGAACAGGAUUAGAUACCCCAGUAGUC
rnacentral:rRNA from 1 species